rnacentral:ncRNA from 1 species
UUAAAACAAUUUGUAAAAGCAUAAUGCAAGUGUCCUAAAGUGAACUCAGGAAGGACAGAAAUCUCCUGAGGAGCAGACGGUCAAAAACUUGGCUUGAUCUUGAUAGGGAAGCAUGGCGUUGGCCUCAUGAUCCUUCUGACUUUUUGGACUUUAAGCAGGAA